rnacentral:lncRNA from 1 species
GUUGGGCAGGCUUGCUGCAGCUACACAGUCGUUACGAGAGUGGAAUCUCUGUUGAUCUUUUCAUCUCUCUACCUUUAACAUCUUUCUCACUUGCUGUUCUUUUUUCUGUUUUAUUUGGGGGGUUUCAGUUUGAUUUAUUGCAUAUAUUUUUUCUUAAAAUUUUGAUUUUGACUUUUCAACUCAAAUUGUUGGAUGAACAAUUUAGUAUUUGAAUCAUACUUUCCCUAUUUUUUGGAGCUUUUUGAGUAUCAAUAAAUCAAUUCUGUUGGAUAAAUUUCUUCUUCACUAUUUAUUUGGUGAGGGAAAAGGGAUGGCAUUACUUUGAGCGUUGCUUUUGUUCUACAUCGUUGAACUUACGAACAUGCCACAUCGGCCAUUAAAAUAGUCAUUUUGUCCAGGUAAUCUGAGCAUUGCUUUUGUUUUCUUUCCUUCCCUUUUGCUGAGAAAAUCGAAGGUAUUAUUGGAAGCUCGUCAUAUAUUCGUUAUCGUUUUGUUCUUGGUAUUACCAUUUUACCAUUUUAUCAAUUUGUAUUUGUUUCUUGUGAAUUCUUUGAUGAUCAUUUUGUUUUUCGAACUUUGAAAUUAGGUUUUUUUUUUCUUUCCACUCUCUCUUGUUGCAUUCACUGGUUCUUUUCCACUGAAACAGAGCAAAAGUUUCUUUCCCUCAAAAAAAAAUCCAAGGUGCCUGCUGGAUUUCUCUUAGAAAGAAGAAGAAGAAGAAGAAGAGGACAAAAGAAAAAAAAAGAAAAAGAAAGAGAGCAAAUGUGUCCCCUUUGGCCAUUUUCUGCAGGAAAAGAAAAACAAAGGCCUUCUUUCAACAUGACCUUAGUUGAGGGGCUUGUUCCCAGGAUUCCUCCUUGCCUGGGGCUGCAGGGCAGGGAAAUUGCAUUGCCACUUUAGCGGCUCUCUGUACAUUUUCGCCUGAAUGGCUUUGUCCUUGAACCAAAUGCUGCCUGGUUGUUGGCCAGAGAGGAAGUAGUUUGCCAUUUCUGCAACUCUUGCAGGCUGAUGACUCUCUCUCUCUCUCUCUCUCUCUCUCUCUCUCUCUCUCUCUCAAAAUGAGGGACGGAACUUGCAAAAUCGCAAAACUGGUGGAUUUUUUAUGCAAAUUGGCCUUUCUUCAACUCUAGAAAUAGACUUUUCUAUUUUUAAUUACCUUUGUAAUUUUAUGGAUUCUUUACAUGCAGAAGAGAGCAAAAGUUUCUUUCAAAAACUAAAAGGCAGGCAACAUGUUCAUAUCGUUAUCGUCGCAGCCGUUACCCUUUUCCCCAUUUUUGGCAAGUUAAAAAAAAAGACUUUGCGACAUGGACUAAGUUGAGGGGCUUAUUUUCAGAAUUUCUCCACCCCUGGGGCUCGAGGAUAGGUGAAUUGCAGCCUCGGUAAAGGGGGUCUCCAUGCAUUUUUACCUAAAUUGCCUUAUUCUAGAACCAAAUUCUGCCUGGUUGUUGGCCAGAGAGGAAGUGGACCUGCAUUUCGGCUACUCUUGUAGGCUGAUGACUCUCUCUCUCUCUCUCUCUCUCUCUCUAUAUAUAUAUAUAUAUAUAUCAUAUUGCCCGGACUGGUAUUUUGUGCAAGGUGAUGGUGAUGAAUGCUACAUGAUUGUGACUUUCUGCGGAAAGUCCUUCAGUGUGAUCGACUAUAUAUAUAUAUAUAUGCGAAUGUAAAGUUGAGCUACAAUCAAUAGUAGCAACCACUAAACCUAAACUCUGGACCCUAGACCCUAUUGAUCCAUGGGUCAAAAACUUGGUCGCGGCCGCCACUUUGCUACUAUCAAUAGUAUUUUAGCCCCACAAUAAAUUUAUACAUCUAUAUGAAUUCUCUUUCUCUUAUGUGUUACUCUUUUGGGUAAACUUCAAAUACCACCCCUAUGGUUUCGCACUUUCUCACUUUAGUAACCCUGUGGAUUAAAGUGUAUUAAGUUAGUAUCCUGUGGUUUCAUUUUUCUCUUUUCGCCUGCUCCUCCGUUAACAUUUCGUUAAAUUAUAUACAAAAUAUGCUUUCUUCAAAAUAUUUUUUCCCUUCUUUUCCUUCUUGGAGGCGAUGAUGAUAAACACCGCAUCACUGCAAUUUUGUGAGAAGAUGUGCUAUUCUCAUGCAAUGCCAUUAUUUUUCUCUUUCCAUAUGUGUGCAUGUACGCACACACGUUCAUAUAUAUAUAUAUAUAUAUACACAUCUAUUUCUUGGACCUGGUUCACCACAUUUGUUUACUACCCAAUGAAAUGCUUGAUUCUUUGGCGAUGUUGGCUGGGCAGCUGGAUGGCCUUCAACUUGCAGGCAAUGGCUGCAGCUACAUCUCCAGUGUUAGACUGGUGUAUAUGAUUAAUUUUUCCUUUGGUGUUAAAUCUGAGCCUCCGUCAAUCUUUUGCACUUUUUGCUCUCUCUUGUUGCAUUCACUGGUUCUUUACCACUGAAACUGAGCAAAAGUUAAUCCGCAAAAAAAAAAAAAAAAAAAUUCAAGGUGCCUACUGGAUUUCUCUUAGAAAGAAGAAGAAGAAGAGGACAAAAGAGAAAAAAAGAGAGCAAAUGUGUUCCCUUUGGCCAUUUUCUGCAGGAAAAGAAAAACAAAGGUCUUCUUUUAACAUGAC